rnacentral:rRNA from 1 species
UGGCUCAGGGAUGAACGCUGGCGGCGUGCUUAACACAUGCAAGUCGAACGAUGAAGCCCAGCUUGCUGGGUGGAUUAGUGGCGAACGGGUGAGUAACACGUGAGUAACCUGCCCUUAACUCUGGGAUAAGCCUGGGAAACUAGGUCUAAUACCGGAUAGGAGCGCCUACCGCAUGGUGGGUGUUGGAAAGAUUUAUCGGUUUUGGAUGGACUCGCGGCCUAUCAGCUUGUUGGUGAGGUAAUGGCUCACCAAGGCGACGACGGGUAGCCGGCCUGAGAGGGUGACCGGCCACACUGGGACUGAGACACGGCCCAGACUCCUACGGGAGGCAGCAGUGGGGAAUAUUGCACAAUGGGCGAAAGCCUGAUGCAGCGACGCCGCGUGAGGGAUGACGGCCUUCGGGUUGUAAACCUCUUUCAGUAGGGAAGAAGCGAAAGUGACGGUACCUGCAGAAGAAGCACCGGCUAACUACGUGCCAGCAGCCGCGGUAAUACGUAGGGUGCGAGCGUUAUCCGGAAUUAUUGGGCGUAAAGAGGUAGUAGGCGGUUUGUCGCGUCUGUCGUGAAAGUCCGGGGCUUAACCCCGGAUCUGCGGUGGGUACG